UAUUAGAGGAAAUACAAUAUCGCGAGAAACCGUACGGGACUAGAAUCGAAUUUCCCUCCGGUCGGCUUUUCCGUAAGAAUAUUUUAAUUUUUUUUAUUAAUAAUAAAUUGAUCUAAAUUAGCAUUAUGUUUGCUAAUGAUAAAUCACAUAGUUCGUAUGCCUAUUAUUUAAUCUAAAUUGUAUUCAUUCCUUGAGUACACUGAUUAUGUAUAGAAAAAAUACUCUGUAGCGGCGGUUCUCAAAAUGUGAGCUGC